AGUGCGGCCGUCAUGGCGUCGCCCUUCAGCGGGGCGCUGCAGCUGACGGACCUGGAUGACUUCAUCGGGCCGUCUCAGAUCCAAGCACACGUCCUCUCGAUGGGCAGUGCAACUCUGGUCUCUGUGGUGGUCACGCCCCCUGUUCACGUGAAGGGUGAAGGAGUGCAUCAAGCCUGUCAAAGUGGAAAAAAGGGCGGGAAGUGGCGUGGCCAAGAUUCGCAUUGAAGAUGACGGGAGCUACUUCCAAAUUAACCAAGACGGCGGGACCCGGAGGCUGGAGAAGGCCAAGGUCUCGCUAAACGACUGCCUGGCGUGCAGCGGCUGCAUCACCUCCGCAGAGACCGUGCUUAUCACCCAGCAGAGCCACGAGGAGCUGAAGAAGGUUCUAGAUGCUAACAAGAUGGCGGCACCCAGUCAGCAGAGGCUGGUUGUAGUUUCGGUCUCACCACAGUCUAGAGCAUCGCUGGCUGCACGGUUUCAGCUGAAUCCUACAGAUACUGCCAGGAAAUUAACCUCAUUCUUUAAAAAAAUAGGGGUGCACUUCGUCUUCGACACCGCCUUCUCAAGGCACUUCAGCCUCCUGGAGAGCCAGCGAGAGUUUGUGCGGCGAUUCCGAGGACAGGCCGACUGCAGA
rnacentral:lncRNA from 1 species